GGUUGGCUGAGACGUUGGUGACUGCCAUUAAAGUUUUGUGAUCUAUGACUUUAAUAAGUAAGGGAACCAAAGUCGUCUUGUAGCGGUAAACCGGACCAGUAUCCGGAAACUUUAAACGAGAUGUAAGGUGCCCACCUGGUUUUACCAGGUCAUAAACUUAGGUAAAACGGCGUUGCGGCUAACCC
rnacentral:other from 1 species